AUUGAACGCUGGCGGCAGGCUUAACACAUGCAAGUCGAGCGGAGAUGAGGUGCUUGCACCUUAUCUUAGCGGCGGACGGGUGAGCAAUGCUUAGGAAUCUGCCUAUUAGUGGGGGACAACAUUCCGAAAGGAAUGCUAAUACCGCAUACGUCCUACGGGAGAAAGCAGGGGAUCUUCGGACCUUGCGCUAAUAGAUGAGCCUAAGUCGGAUUAGCUAGUUGGUGGGGUAAAGGCCUACCAAGGCGACGAUCUGUAGCGGGUCUGAGAGGAUGAUCCGCCAAACUGGGACUGAGACACGGCCCAGACUCCUACGGGAGGCAGCAGUGGGGAAUAUUGGACAAUGGGGGGAACCCUGAUCCAGCCAUGCCGCGUGUGUGAAGAAGGCCUUAUGGUUGUAAAGCACUUUAAGCGAGGAGGAGGCUACCUGGAUUAAUACUCUAGGAUAGUGGACGUUACUCGCAGAAUAAGCACCGGCUAACUCUGUGCCAGCCGCCGCCGUAACAC
rnacentral:rRNA from 1 species